rnacentral:lncRNA from 1 species
AAAUACGUUCAUCAAAUUGGAUAUUAUUAUUGGAAGUUCUUCGAAGACUCAUAGUGAACUCAGGUCGUGUGCCAAUGAUUUUCUCAUGAAUAAAAGUUUUAUUUUAAACUGAUGCGACAAUGUCUUAAACCGGUAUUCCAACGUAAUUUGUUGGCUCCCCUACAAGCACUAUUUUGUUGGCAAACAACGAGCAGAUAAGAGAUUGCUACACAUGCCUAAUCGACAAGAGAGAAACCCACAUGCUCUUACCACUCACCACUGUCCCUUUCUUUUACUCUUAUUAUGUCAUUAUAAAUGCCUACACAUUUCACACUUAGUCCAUUACCUUUCAUCUUCAUGUUUGUACCAUCUUCUCCCUCACCCUUUACUAUCACUUCUAGGAUUUUGCAUAUGCUUGGGUAAUUCUUUGAUAUUCAUACCAUAUUCAACUAUGAACUCUGAAGAUUACGAUUACUUUAUAAGCACACUUGAUUGGGUUCUCAUGUGAAUUGCCAUCAUUUCCACCCUUAUUGUAGCCAUCAGCAUCUACUAUUCCUCUGAUCCGCGUGAUCGGUGACAUGAAGAAAUCAAACAUAAAGGCCUUCAUGAGUACAAGGAUCACUAUGUCCUUCUAGAGCCAUGGGUGAACCCUUUCGAGCUUUGAAUUUUUAUAUUUUCACGUGUUAUAUUUCAUUUGUCUUUUAAUAUUAAGAAUCUUUUAAACUCCAUAUACUUGGGUUGUUGACCAAGUGCAACCAGGUAGAUAUUUGAAUUUCAUGACAUGAAGGUCCAUUUUUGAUGUUUAAAUCGUUGUUAUCUAUCCUACUCUCAUUAAUUGAGCUAAAGAUUUAUUAUAAUGAAACAAAGGAAAAUCACCUAAGUGACCCAUAUAUUGAUUUGUUUUGCAACACAAAUAGAAAAGUAUUUAGUGGAAGAGACAAGAUUGAAUGAAAAUAAUAAGUGAGCUAAUGGAUGAUCUUUAACAUGAAUGUCAAAUAUGAGUAGAAGUAGAAUAGGUGUUUACAGUUCAUGCCCCCUAUAUCGGCCCUACAGUACAUAUCCGAAUAUAACUAGAAACCCACAAUAUAAGCAAGAACUUCAAAAGCAGAGUUUAACAAACAAAAACACACUCCAAGUUGGUCAAAGCAGACCCUACAAUGCAUCGCAACUUCUAGUAAUGCUGCGUCAUAGAAGUGAAAAUUAGGCUCAAACAAUGUGGAUACUAGCCUGCCUUUCAUGCCUGCCCACACGAACAGGUUUGAUUGGAAGGUUAUCUUGGUGCCACUACUCAGCCUCAUAAGGGGCACAUCUCAACAGAAAAGAGAUGAGCAAGAGGAAGAAGAUGGUGACAAGUAGAAAAAAAUUCACCACGAUUAGUGACUUGAAGAAGUUGGUGAAAACCAUUAUUGUGACAGGAACUUUUGAAGAGGGGAUUAAAGACUCGACAUAAUAGAACUAAAGAUUAGCUUUCUUUGAGGUUCGCUGGAUAGUCACUAGGGAAAUAAUGAAAUUAGUUUGUUAAAUAGCCUUAGGUUUGAGAAGAAAAUGGGAGAUGUGAUGGUAGGUAAUUGAUACAAUAAUGGCACGUUCCCACAAUAUCAUGAUGUCCCUGCGUGAAAGGGAAAUAGGAAGAUAAGGCGUGAUUGAAAGUUCAACCUUGAAUGAAGACGAUAAAGUUUAAGUCGGUGUCUCAACCUAACUCCUUCGAUCACUAUUCUGUCGGCAGACAAAAAGUGGACGAGGAAUUACCACGCCUGCCUAAGCUAGAAAGAAAAGAAAAACCCAUAUAUUUUCCCUAUUUCACCUACCACUCUCCAUCAUCUCCUAUCUUUUACUCUCACUUCCCUUAAUAAAUGCACCAAAUCUUUCAUUUUAUAUUAUCUCACUUUCUAACCUUUUCUUCAUUUUCGGCUAACACUUUUCUCCUUUCAUAUUUUGGUUCUUUUAUAAUGACUCCUAUUUAUCCAACUGCUCCUGAAAAAAUACCAGAGUGUUGUCCUUGCUACAAUGAGUUUCAGUUAUACAAAUCUAUAUAUCUGGUCAUGCGAUAUCUUCUCCUCAUGAUGCUUAUCCCUGCUGCAUUUACAUGCUUUUUGAUAACUCGCCAAACUCAUCGUGGUGAAGAAGUCCCUCCAAAUCUCAGACCCAUAGGUAUGUUAUACAUGGAAGAUCUCAAAGAUUAUGCUCGUAGGGAGGCACAUGAGGAUUAAAUGAGAGUCUAAGUACUUUCCCAAAAGCAUCUUCAACUUACCUCGAUACUAUUUUUUAUUUCUGUUGUACUUUGGUCAUGUCUCAGUAUUAGGAAUCUCCCUCAAAUUCUUACAAUUAAGUUAUUAAAAAUUCCCCAUUUUACUUCCACCGUGAGGGUCUACUUUUUAGACAGAGUGUUUCGAGGGUACUUAUAUUAGUUUGACUGAAUUCAAGGUUAUCACCUCAAUAAAUCCCUUCAAAUAUGAUAUUUUGCCUUUUUACUCAUAUAUCUUGAGUAGUAAGUUUGUCAUGAAUCAGUCAAUGACCUAUUACUUUCUUAUGAUUGGGAGAUGUAUCGACCAUGAUCAAAGAAUUUUCUCCUAAAUUUUCCUUGCAAUGUGUAUGCCAUGCUAUUAAACUAAUCAUGUAAUGAAAAUAUUAAAAUGAAGUAUGCAUGCAUGCUCAUUUAUAAAACAAGUGUAAGAGUUAUACGCUACAGUUGGGGAAAAACAGUUACAAAAUAUGGAGGACUUUCACAAUUGCUUUAACAAUGAUGAGCUCGAGCGACCCAACCCGCUUUUUCAACCCUAUCUAUGACGAUGCACACAUGUUAAUCUGAGGAUUCAUUUUGCAAAUAUUAGUGAUCUGUCCUCUCUUAAAGUGUGUCGUGUCAUCCAUUCACCAAUAAAUUCUCUUGACCUUUCAAUGAACUUUCAUUCGAGAAAAGAAGAACCAUAAUUGGGUUGAUAAGGUGAUACUAGUCGUGAGUUGUUCUUUGACCUCUUUUCGUAUUCCUCUAUUUCUUCCCUUUCUCCAUUUUGUUUCUUUCCGUAUGUAUUUUUCUUAAAAAAUAUUUUCCCAAACAUUUGCAUGGAUUGGACCAAAUAACAAGGAGUAAAUAUGCGUUUAUUAAUAAUGGAUUCUUCGAACAUAUCUCAUUUCGAGUUUAUGGGCAUGCAACAGAAAAAUACAUGAGUAUAAGUGAAAAAUGAUAAUUAUCCCCACUUUCUCAAAGGCAAGCCUUUCCAACCCUUUCCGUUUAAUUGAAAUCGUAAAACGCUCUGCGUCAAAACGUAAUAUUUUUUAACUGAAUCAGAGUUGAUGGGGUGUGGGAGCUCGUUGCCAUUCGUAUUCAUUAGAAUUAAUACCCCUCUAGAGAAUGCAUUUUUCACCGCAUAUGGACCAUCGUAAUUGGGGAUCCAUUUGCCUCUCGGAUCUCCGUGUCGUGAAGAUAAUUUUUUUAUCACCAAUUCACCCUCUUGAAAAAAUCUAGGUUUCACUUUCUUCUCAAAUGCCCUUAUUAACCACCUUUGGUAUAGGUGACCAUGAUGAAUAGCCGCCAACCUUUUGUCAUCAAUCAUAUUUAGCUGGUCAUACCUUGUUUUCACCCACUCAGCUUCUUCCAGUUUCGCUUUCAUCAAAACCAUGAGAGAGGGUAUCUCUACUUCUACUAGAAGUAUAGCCUCCAUCCCAUAUACUAGUUGGUAUGGUUAGCUCCAGUUGACGUCCAGAUUGAGGUUCAAUUGCAAUGAAGUGCAAAAGGUAGCAUCUCCUAGCAGUCACGAUAUGUAACCACCAUUUUUUGCACGAUCUUCUUAAUAUUUUUAUUGGCUGCUUCUAUAGCACCAUUCAUCUUAGGCUGGUAGGGUACUGAGUUGUGGUGUUUGAUCUUCAAUUGAUUGCAUAGUUUGUCCAUCAUCUUGUUGUUAAGGUUCUUGGAAUUAUCGGUGAUCAAUCGUUCUGGUAAUCCAUAUCGAUAAAUAAUCUCCUUUUUAAUGAACUUAACCAGAACGCUCCUUGUUAUGCUAAUGUAUGAAGCCGCUUCGAACCAUUUAGUGAAAUAGUCAAUAGAUACUAAGAUAAAACAGUGUCGAUUGGAUGCCUUUGGUUCGAUCAUUAUGAUUACGUUUAUACCCCAAACCGUAAAAGGCCACGAAGAGGUCAUAACAUGGAGAGAUGAGGGUGGUGCAUGUAGUUCAUUAGCGUAAAUUUGGCAUUUGUGACAUUUGCAAAUGUAUCCAUCCUCGUCCAAUAAUACCCCAUUCUCAGAAUUUUCAUAGCCAGAGUAUGUCCUCCUAAAUGAGUACCACAUAUUCCAUCGUGAACUUCCUCUAGUAUUCUCCGUGCUUUAGAUGAAUCCACGCACCUCAGAAGUUUGAAGUCGUGGUUUCAUUUGUACAGGACAUAACCAUUAAUAUAAAACCCUAGCACCAAUCGACGUAAAGUUCUUUUUUCAUUCUCUAAUGCUCCAGUUGGGUAUUCUUUAUUUCUUAUGUAGUUCAUUAUGUCGUUGUACCAUGGCCUUCCAUCGGUCUCUUCUUAACAUUUGAGACAUGUAAUGAGGUCAUCCACUUUGUACAUUAAUGAUAACAUAGCCAAUGUGUCAACUAUCUGAUUGCCCACCCUCGAAAUAUGCUCAAACUCGAUGUUAUCAAAACAAGACAUCAUUUCUUUGAUAUAUUUCUGGUAUGGAAUGAGUUUUCAAUCCCGUGUUUCCCAUUCUUCUCUUAGUUGGUAAAUGACGAGUGAUGAAUCCCCAUACACUUUUACAUCUUUGAUCUCCAUUUCUAUAGCCGAACAAAUGCCUAAUGAACAUGCUUCAUAUUCAGCAAUGUUGUUGGUACAGUAGAACGUCAAUUUUAUAGUUAUGGGGUAUACCCUUCCCUCAGGCCACAUGAAUAUCAAAUCCCAAAUCCAAUAGCAUUAGAAGCUCCAUCAAAUUUCAUGAUCCAUGACAUGUUAAUUCCUUUUUCCGCAUCAUUUAUACUCAUGAUAUUUUCAAUAGGAAAAUCCAUUGUUACUAGGUCUAGGUCUGGAGUAGAAUGCUCCGCCAAAUGAUCAACUAUUGGAUUGCCUUUGAUUGCUUUUCGGGCCGAAUACAUGAUAUCGUAUUCUGCCAGCUGAACUUGCCAUCUUGCGAUACGUCCUGUAAGAGAUGGUUUUUGAAAGAUAUAUUUCAUAGGGUUAAUUUUUGAGACCAAAUGUGUGGUAUAAUAUAACAUGUAGUGCCUUAACCUUUUAGCCACCCAAGUUAGUGCCCCACACGUUUUUUCCAAAUCUAUCGAACCUCGUGGUCCAUAAACUUUUUACUUGUUUAGUAGAUUACAUGCUCCUUAUUUCCCUGUGUUGUCACUUUGGGCAGGCAUUUCCCCCACCGACUUGUCA